rnacentral:hammerhead_ribozyme from 1 species
GUACUGAUGAGGAGUCCCGAAGUAGGACGAAACAACUGUCCAGUAC